UUUUAUAACGAAGAGCCCUUACCUACCCGAAAUGUCCGUAGUAGGACCCUGAAAGGGAAUGCAUGGGUUAAGUCCCGAGACUAGUGCUGCGCGGCUGGCGUCACCUCGUGUCGUGAGAUGUUGGGUUAAGUCCCGUAACGAGCCCAACCCUUCUCCUUAUUUGCCAUCACGUCAUGCUGGGAACUCUACGGAGACUGCCGGUGAUAAACCGGAGGAAGGUGGGGACGACAUCAAGUCAUCAUGGCCCUUAUGGGUAGGGCUACACACGUGCUACAAUGGCCGGUACAGAGGGCUGCGAACUUGCGAAAGUAAGCCAAUCCCACAAAACCCGUCCUACUCCGGAUUGGAGUCUGCCACUCGACUCCAUGAAGGCGGAAUCGCUAGUAAUCGCGAAUUAGAAUGUCACGGAGAAUACGUUCCCGGGUCUUGUACACACCG
rnacentral:rRNA from 1 species